rnacentral:rRNA from 1 species
AGACGUCUACAUUAGAUACCCGGGUAGUCCCAGCCGUAAACUAUGCGCGUUAGGUGUAUCGGUGACCACGAGUCACCGAGGUGCCGAAGGGAAACCGUGAAACGUGCCGCCUGGGAAGUGCGGUCGCAAGGCUGAAACUUAAAGGAAUUGGCGGGGAGCACCACAACGGGUGGAGCCUGCGGUUUAAUUGGACUCAACGCCGGGAAGCUCACCGGAUAAGACAGCGGAAUGAUUGCCGGGCUGAAGACUCUGCAUGACUAGCUG